UUUUGAUCGAUCUUUUGACAACUGUACACAACUUAAAAACAAUAUCUUGAAAAUUGUGCACUGCUGAAGAUAAAUCAAAUCUACUGUGGAUUCGAAGUUUUUGUGUAUUGUAUAAAUUAAUUUUUGUUCUGCAAUAACUUUACGUUUGUCAGUCGGAAAAGGAUUCUGUGUAUAGGUUACCCCCUCCUCUAUACAGCAUUGUACAGUAGAUAGGGCUUGUCUAGCAAGCGUACCGCACCUUGGGG